rnacentral:lncRNA from 1 species
AAAUUUAAGGGUUCAAUUUGCAAUGCAUUUUAAAUUUAUGUAUUUAUUUCCUUUUAGAAAGUAAUAUGUAUUGCAACUCAGCAAUUGGGUUUACAAAACUGGUCAUCUCAGAAAGAGAAGAUUAUACAGUUUUAUAAUCAACUUCGGGUUUGUGUUGGUGUGAUGUUAGUGGGCCCAACAGGUGGAGGAAAGACAACAGUCAGAAAAAUUUUGGAAAAAGCAUUAACACUAUUACCAAUUGCAGACUUCUUAUCAGUUGCAGAAAGAAAAUCUGCUUCAAAGAUUUUGAUUGGCAGUGGAUUAUCUUAGAUGGCCCAGUGGACACCUUUUGGGUAGAAAAUCUGAACUCUGUGCUAGAUGAUACUAGAACAUUAUGCCUAGCAAACAGUGAGAGAAUCGCUUUAACUAAUAAAAUAAGAGUGAUUUUUGAAGUGGACAGUCUCUCUCAGGCCAGUCCUGCUACUGUCAGCCGAUGUGCCAUGGUCUAUAUGGAUCCUGUUGAUCUGGGAUGGGAGCCUUAUGUUAAGUCAUGGCUUCUGAAAACUUCUAAAAUUAUAAGUCAAUCAGGAGUGGAUUGUCUUGAAUUCAUGAUUAAAAAUAGUGUCACAGACGGACUACAAUUUAUAAAGAAUCGUCAGAAAUUUCAGCCAUAUCCUAUGGAGGACAUAACAAUCAUCAUAACCCUCUGCAGAAUUCUUGAUGCUUUCUUUGACGUCAUGGGUAAAAAUGGAGGAUUUGAACAAAGUGAGUUUUUCUCUCUAAGUCAUGUCAAUGAUACAUCUUAACUAGUCAAUGCCAAUUUAUCACCUUAUAUUAGAUUUUAGAAAAUUUCUCAAAGAGCAAGCAUUUUUAGUCUAUUUGGACCAACAGCAG